UGGGACUUCUUUCGGGUCACUCUGUGGGGGAAGAAGUGCAGCCUUCUGCUUCGGCUCCCACUGGGGCUCCUCCCAGCUGCUGUUGGAGCGCCCCGUCCUCAGACCUGUGGCUCUGCCCUGCCUUCUUCUGCUCCCUGGUCCUGCAUGCAAAAUGGGACCGUUGGUCCCAACGCUGCUGGCGGUGGUGGUGGCGGCGGCCGUGUACAUCCUCUGGCAAGAAAGAUGCGGCGGACGGCAUUAUGCGCAUCACCCCGGACCUAGGGGACGGAGUUCAGCACAUUUCCAGACUAUGAGAUUCAAUGCCAACAUGUCUUUCAACACCCAAGUGGUUAUCAACGAAGGUGAGGUUUUCAGUGACGAGCAAAGGACCAUCCCGACUUUGGAGAGGCAGGGGAGUGCUCUGAGGCCGAGAUGAUGAAGGUGACAUUUUCCUGUAUGGUUACCAACACCUUGGGGACCUCUCGCCUUUCUUGAGACCCAGGGCUUAAAUCGGUUUUGAAUCCCAUGGUGAUAGUUUAAAUGACCCUUCUUUGUCCUGCUCAGUUACUCAUUUAGCCCUUUUCUGUGCUCCUGUCACCUCAAAGAAUGGGGGCACCUUGUCCCAGCACUGUGGAAGCCCUGAAGUUGACUCCUCAGCUCUGGGUGUUGACAUCUCCACAGCUUCACCCGCCAGAUCAAGGCUUUCUGCUUCCCAUCGCCUUUGGUGCUGUUUUCCUCAGAUUCCUGUGUCCUCCCUUUCUCUCUUUGUGCCUCCAUCACUCCCUUACUCUUCUCCAUCUUCCUUUGAAUUGCUUUCCUUCCCUUUGAAGUCCCAGACCCCUACCCCUUCUCCUUAGUUUAGGAUAACAUAAAUACAUCCUUUUGCCUAACUGUCCUUGGAAACUCAUGUUUAUUGUGAAUUCCUCAUAUGCACAUCAGUAAAUCUAAUUUGAUUUUUUCCCCUGAUAA